GCAGUAAAUGUGGAGCCGUAGCGAAAGCGAGUCUGAAUAGGGCGUUUAGUAUUUGGUCGUAGACCCGAAACCAGGUGAUCUACCCUUGGUCAGGUUGAAGUUCAGGUAACACUGAAUGGAGGACCGAACCGACUUACGUUGAAAAGUGAGCGGAUGAACUGAGGGUAGCGGAGAAAUUCCAAUCGAACCUGGAGAUAGCUGGUUCUCUCCGAAAUAGCUUUAGGGCUAGCCUCAAGUGAUGAUUAUUGGAGGUAGAGCACUGUUUGGACGAGGGGCCCCUCUCGGGUUACCGAAUUCAGACAAACUCCGAAUGCCAAUUAAUUUAACUUGGGAGUCAGAACAUGGGUGAUAAGGUCCGUGUUCGAAAGGGAAACAGCCCAGACCACCAGCUAAGGUCCCAAAAUAUAUGUUAAGUGGAAAAGGAUGUGGCGUUGCCCAGACAACUAGGAUGUUGGCUUAGAAGCAGCCAUCAUUUAAAGAGUGCGUAAUAGCUCACUAGUCGAGUGACACUGCGCCGAAAAUGUACCGGGGCUAAACAUAUUACCGAAGCUGUGGAUUGUCCUUUGGACAAUGGUAGGAGAGCGUUCUAAGGGCGUUGAAGCAUGAUCGUAAGGACAUGUGGAGCGCUUAGAAGUGAGAAUGCCGGUGUGAGUAGCGAAAGACGGGUGAGAAUCCCGUCCACCGAUUGACUAAGGUUUCCAGAGGAAGGCUCGUCCGCUCUGGGUUAGUCGGGUCCUAAGCUGAGGCCGACAGGCGUAGGCGAUGGAUAACAGGUUGAUAUUCCUGUACCACCUAUA
rnacentral:rRNA from 1 species